CCUACGGGGGGCAGCAGUGAGGAAUAUUGGUCAAUGGGCUUACGCCUGAACCAGCCAAGUCGCGUGAAGGAUGACGGCCCUACGGGUUGUAAACUUCUUUUGUCAGGGAGCAAUUGGGUCCACGCGUGGGCUUAGCGAGAGUACCUGAAGAAAAAGCAUCGGCUAACUCCGUGCCAGCACCCGCGUUAAUACGGAGGAGGCGAGCGUUAUCCGGAUUUAUUGGGUUUAAGGGGUGCGUAGGCGGAAUAUCAAGUCAGCGGUAAAAAUUCGGGGCUAAACCCAGUGGUGCAGUUGAAACUGAUGUUCUUGAGUGCGCGAGAGGUAUGCGGAAUGCGUGGUGUAGCGGUGAAAUGCAUAGAUAUCACGAAGAACUCCGAUUGCGAAGGCAGCAUACCGGCGGCGAUCUGACGCUGAGGCACGAAAGCGUGGGUAUCGAACAGGAUUAGAUACCCUAGUAGUC
rnacentral:rRNA from 1 species